UUUAGUGCUACAAAUACCUAGUUCUAUACCUACUACAUUGGCUGAAGAGCGAAUAUGUGAGUUUGUACUUUGUUGAUGACAUUGAUUUAGCAUCUGAACAGUAUGAUCAUUUUGAGAUUGAGUGAAAGUACUCACACCUGUUUGAGUUAUUUGUCCUGGCACUGGUGUCAUUUGUGAAAGUGUAUCUGUGUAAUGCAUCUUGCUAGUUUUGUUAUUUCCUUGAUUAUCUAGUUGUGUCAUUUGUUCACCUGUUUCUUGAGAGAGUACAUUGUAAGUUGCAGAUGAUCCACCAGCUCCCCCUUUC
rnacentral:lncRNA from 1 species